rnacentral:sRNA from 1 species
GAGUUCUUGAAAAAACUUAAUGAUGCUGAUCCUGAUGACAAAUUUCAUUGUCUGAGACUCUUCAGGCACUUCUAUCACAAGCAGCAUCUUUGUCUCGUAUUCGAGCCUCUCAGCAUGAACUUACGAGAGGUGUUAAAAAAAUAUGGUAAAGAUGUUGGUCUUCAUAUUAAAGCUGUAAGAUCCUAUAGUCAGCAGUUGUUCCUGGCAUUGAAACUCCUUAAAAGAUGCAAUAUCCUACAUGCAGAUAUCAAGCCAGACAAUAUCCUGGUUAAUGAAUCCAAAACUAUUUUAAAGCUUUGCGAUUUUGGGUCGGCUUCACAUGUUGCGGAUAAUGACAUAACACCUUAUCUUGUCAGUAGAUUUUAUCGUGCUCCUGAAAUCAGUAAGUUUCUUAAUGUUCUUUGACCUGGGCCAUCAUAUGUGGUGGAAACCGCAUACUUAAUGUCUAAGCACUGUUUUCCAUCACACUUCAGCAGCUGCACCAGUUCAUUCAUGAGGAAGGGAACCAUAGCAAGUUCAUCCUCCUCAGGUGGAAUGAAGGUAGUUGUGACAGGAGUCUUGAUCAUGUCGGGCAAGAGUAGCAAAACAGUUGUGGAAAAUCCUCGACUUUAGAAGACUGCUCUUGAUUAUUCAAGGUCUGAUUAUCACAUUUAUGGAUUGUAUGGGACCUUUGUUUUUUCCUGUUGCCUUGGUUGAGGCUGAUUAGCACCUCCACCAAAGGCGAAAUGAGAAAAGAGAAGAAAUACAUAUUUUCUUUUGCCCUUUAAGUUCCUCCCCCACACCUCCAUUUUUUAAGGUUUUUAAGUUUGAGUCUCUAUUAAGAAUUAGUGGGAAAGAACACAAAACUAAUUGUCAAACUAAGGCAUGAAGAUUGUGGUUAUAGUACAAGCUAAGGUAGCCCCUCAUUAGUGGAAAUAAAAAUUAAUAGUCGUCAGUUUUCUUUAUCCUCGUAUAUUAAAACUUUGAUUUUGUUUUCAGUUAUAGGUAAAAGCUAUGACUAUGGUAUAGAUAUGUGGUCUGUAGGUUGCACCUUAUACGAACUCUAUACUGGAAAAAUUUUAUUCCCUGGCAAAACCAAUAACCAUAUGCUGAAGCUUGCAAUGGAUCUCAAAGGAAAGAUGCCAAAUAAGAUGAUUCGAAAAGGUGUGUUCAAAGAUCAGCAUUUUGAUCAAAAUCUCAACUUCAUGUACAUAGAAGUUGAUAAAGUAACAGAGAGGGUAAGUGUUCUAAAUGCAGCAUUCGAUAGUUAUUUUAUUGUUAAUUGAGUACUGAAUCAUACGAGCUGGUGAAUUA